CGAACGCUGGCGGCGUGCUUAACACAUGCAAGUCGACCGGCAAGGCCCUGCUUUUGUGGGGUGCUCGAGUGGCGAACGGGUGAGUAACACGUGAGUAACCUGCCCUUGACUUUGGGAUAACUUCAGGAAACUGGGGCUAAUACCGGAUAGGAGCUCCUGCUGCAUGGUGGGGGUUGGAAAGUUUCGGCGGUUGGGGAUGGACUCGCGGCUUAUCAGCUUGUUGGUGGGGUAGUGGCUUACCAAGGCUUUGACGGGUAGCCGGCCUGAGAGGGUGACCGGCCACAUUGGGACUGAGAUACGGCCCAGACUCCUACGGGAGGCAGCAGUGGGGAAUAUUGCACAAUGGGCGGAAGCCUGAUGCAGCAACGCCGCGUGCGGGAUGACGGCCUUCGGGUUGUAAACCGCUUUCGCCUGUGACGAAGCGUGAGUGACGGUAAUGGGUAAAGAAGCACCGGCUAACUACGUG
rnacentral:rRNA from 1 species